AGUGAACGCCGGCGGUAGGCCUAACACAUGCAAGUCGAACGGCAGCACAGUAAGAGCUUGCUCUUACGGGUGGCGAGUGGCGGACGGGUGAGGAAUACAUCGGAAUCUACUUUUUCGUGGGGGAUAACGUAGGGAAACUUACGCUAAUACCGCAUACGACCUACGGGUGAAAGCAGGGGAUCUUCGGACCUUGCGCGAUUGAAUGAGCCGAUGUCGGAUUAGCUAGUUGGCGGGGUAAAGGCCCACCAAGGCGACGAUCCGUAGCUGGUCUGAGAGGAUGAUCGGCCACACUGGAACUGAGACACGGUCCAGACUCCUACGGGAGGCAGCAGUGGGGAAUAUUGGACAAUGGGCGUAAGCCUGAUCCAGCCAUACCGCGUGGGUGAAGAAGGCCUUCGGGUUGUAAAGCCCUUUUGUUGGGAAAGAAAAGCAGCAGGUUAAUACCCCGCUGUUCUGACGGUACCCAAAGAAUAAGCACCGGCUAACUUCGUG
rnacentral:rRNA from 1 species